CUGGGCGUCUCGCGUGCACGUCGUUUAUUCGUUUUCCGUUCGUCCUUCGUCGCAAACAUUUCAAAUAUCACUUUUCUUUCUUUCCGAUUGAUUUCGCCCGAAGCAUCAAUGACAUAGUUUUCAGAAAAACAAAAAAAAAAAAAAAGGUUUCGCGUGUACGUUUGCUUGUACAAUAUUAUAAAAAAACGUAACAGAAUUUUUCGAUAAAAUUAUAAUAGUAAAAAAAAAAAAAAACUAGUAAAAAAAAAAAAAUUUUAUUUUGUAUCGAAGCGACCGACGACGACGCCCAGUCAACGUGGCCAUCGCAGACGCAGUCACUCCUCCUCAUCGUAAGUAGACAUUUUGUUACAAAUUGUUUAGCGAUAUACGCGAAAUAUUUUAAUCAGACAUAUCGGUUUUUUACGAUUUUCUAAUUUUUUUUUUUUUAUUCAACGGAAAACCGCCCAGUCACAGGUUGGCGCGUAAUUUACGUAAUUUUAAUCCACGUGUGAACGCUCCUUUUUCAACGAUCGUCACCGAUGCGGCGCGCCCGUUGACCCCGAUAAUUUUUUUUUUAUUAUUAUUAUUACUACUGUACACGAUCUGUUAUUCAGUUCUACGCGCGCUUUAUUUUUUCAAUUUUUGUAAUUUUCAACCUUGCCGUUGGAAUAAUAUUUUCGUUUUACGCGACGCAGAGUCGCCGCGGACAAUUUCGGAUUUCUGAAAUUCUUAUAAAAAAUUAUGUUCGUCGAUUUAUACGCAUUAUUCAUUUUUUUUUUUUUUGUUAAAUAAGAAAUAUAAAAUUACUAUUAGGUAUAGGAUUCCCGCGUAAAUACGCGGCGGUUAUUGAAAACGUGUAGUACUUGUUGCUUUUCUCCGUCACAUCGGCUUCCGGCCCGGCGGAGCGCUCGGUAUCAUUUAAUUAUCGGUAGUACCGUU